rnacentral:rRNA from 1 species
GGGGAAUAUUGCGCAAUGGGCGAAAGCCUGACGCAGCCACGCCGCGUGAGCGAUGAAGGUCUUCGGAUCGUAAAGCUCUGUGGAGGGAGAAGAAUCAAGCCGGUGAAGAGCCGGCCCUGACGGUAUCCCUUUAGCAAGCACCGGCUAACUCCGUGCCAGCAGCCGCGGUAAUACGGAGGGUGCAAACGUUGCUCGGAAUCAUUGGGCGUAAAGCGCACGUAGGCGGCCGUGAAAGUUGGAUGUGAAAGCCCUGGGCUCAACCCAGGAAGUGCAUCCAAAACUUCACGGCUUGAGUUCCGGAGGGGCCCAGAGAAUUCCCGGUGUAGAGGUGAAAUUCGUAGAUAUCGGGAGGAAUACCAGUGGCGAAGGCGCUGGGCUGGACGGACACUGACGCUGAGGUGCGAAAGCGUGGGGAGCAAAC